rnacentral:rRNA from 1 species
GUCAUUUAGAGGAAGUAAAAGUCGUAACAAGGUCUCCGUUGGUGAACCAGCGGAGGGAUCAUUACCGAGUUUACAACUCCCAAACCCAAUGUGAACGUUACCAAACUGUUGCCUCGGCGGGAUCUCUGCCCCGGGUGCGUCGCAGCCCCGGACCAAGGCGCCCGCCGGAGGACCAACCAAAACUCUUAUUGUAUACCCCCUCGCGGGUUUUUUUAUAAUCUGAGCCUUCUCGGCGCCUCUCGUAGGCGUUUCGAAAAUGAAUCAAAACUUUCAACAACGGAUCUCUUGGUUCUGGCAUCGAUGAAGAACGCAGCGAAAUGCGAUAAGUAAUGUGAAUUGCAGAAUUCAGUGAAUCAUCGAAUCUUUGAACGCACAUUGCGCCCGCCAGUAUUCUGGCGGGCAUGCCUGUCCGAGCGUCAUUUCAACCCUCGAACCCCUCCGGGGGGUCGGCGUUGGGGAUCGGCCCUGCCUUGGCGGUGGCCGUCUCCGAAAUACAGUGGCGGUCUCGCCGCAGCCUCUCCUGCGCAGUAGUUUGCACACUCGCAUCGGGAGCGCGGCGCGUCCACAGCCGUUAAACACCCAACUUCUGAAAUGUUGACCUCGGAUCAGGUAGGAAUACCCGCUGAACUUAAGCAUAUCAAUAAGCGGAGGAA